ACUCAUCAACCCUGUGAACAUACCUAUAACGUUGCCUCGGCGGGAACAGACGGCCCCGUAACACGGGCCGCCCCCGCCAGAGGACCCCCUAACUCUGUUUCUAUAAUGUUUCUUCUGAGUAAACAAGCAAAUAAAUUAAAACUUUCAACAACGGAUCUCUUGGCUCUGGCAUCGAUGAAGAACGCAGCGAAAUGCGAUAAGUAAUGUGAAUUGCAGAAUUCAGUGAAUCAUCGAAUCUUUGAACGCACAUUGCGCCCGCCAGUAUUCUGGCGGGCAUGCCUGUUCGAGCGUCAUUACAACCCUCAGGCCCCCGGGCCUGGCGUUGGGGAUCGGCGGAAGCCCCCUGCGGGCACAACGCCGUCCCCCAAAUACAGUGGCGGUCCCGCCGCAGCUUCCAUUGCGUAGUAGCUAACACCUCGCAACUGGAGAGCGGCGCGGCCACGCCGUAAAACACCCAACUUCUGAAUGUUGACCUCGAAUCAGGUAGGAAUACCCGCUGAACUUAAGCAUAUCA
rnacentral:rRNA from 1 species